rnacentral:misc_RNA from 1 species
GAUGAAGAACGUAGCGAAAUGCGAUAAGUAAUGUGAAUUGCAGAAUUCAGUGAAUCAUCGAAUCUUUGAACGCACUUUGCGCCCCCUGGCAUUCCGGGGGGCAUGCCUGUUCGAGCGUCAUUUCACCACUCAAGCCUCGCUUGGUAUUGGGCAACGCGGUCCACCGCGUGCCUCAAAUCGACCGGCUGGGUCUUCUGUCCCCUAAGCGUUGUGGAAACUAUUCGCUAAAGGGUGUUCGGGAGGCUACGCCGUAAAACAACCCCAUUUCUAAGGUUGACCUCGGAUCAGGUAGGGAUACCCGCUGAACUUAAGCAUAUCAAUAAGCGGAGGA